rnacentral:rRNA from 1 species
CCUACGGGUCGCACCAGUGGGGAAUAUUGCACAAUGGGCGCAAGCCUGAUGCAGCCAUGCCGCGUGUGUGAAGAAGGCCUUCGGGUUGUAAAGCACUUUCAGCGGGGAGGAAGGCGAUAAGGUUAAUAACCUUGUCGAUUGACGUUACCCGCAGAAGAAGCACCGGCUAACUCCGUGCCAGCAGCCGCGGUAAUACGGAGGGUGCAAGCGGUAAUCGGAAUUACUGGGCGUAAAGCGCACGCAGGCGGUCCGCCAAGUCGGAUGUAAAAUCCCCGGGCUCAACCUGGGAACUGCAUUCGAAACUGGCAGGCUAGAGUCUUGUAGAGGGGGGUAGAAUUCCAGGUGUAGCGGUGAAAUGCGUAGAGAUCUGGAGGAAUACCGGUGGCGAAGGCGGCCCCCUGGACAAAGACUGACGCUCAGGUGCGAAAGCGUGGGGAGCAAACAGGAUUAGAUACCCUCGUAGUC